rnacentral:rRNA from 1 species
ACUCAAAGGAAUAGACGGGGGCCCGCACAAGCAGCGGAGCAUGUGGUUUAAUUCGAAGCAACGCGAAGAACCUUACCAGGUCUUGACAUCCAAUUAAAGCUAGUGAAAGCUAGUGUCCCUUCGGGGGAAUUGAGACAGGUGGUGCAUGGUUGUCGUCAGCUCGUGUCGUGAGAUGUUGGGUUAAGUCCCGCAACGAGCGCAACCCCUAUCCUUAGUUGCCAGCAUGUAAUGAUGGGGACUCUAAGGAGACCGCCGGGGACAACUCGGAGGAAGGUGGGGACGACGUCAAAUCAUCAUGCCCCUUAUGAUCUGGGCUACACACGUGCUACAAUGGCCGUUAACAAAGGGCAGCGAACAGGUAACUGCAAGCGAAUCUCAAAAAUACGGUCUCAGUUCGGAUUGUGGGCUGCAACCCGCCCACAUGAAGUCGGAGUUGCUAGUAAUCGCGAAUCAGCAUGUCGCGGUGAAUGCGUUCCCGGGCCUUGCACACACCGCCCGU